rnacentral:rRNA from 1 species
GAUUAAAGCUCCGGCGGUUAGAGAUGGGCAUGCGUGUCAUUAGCUAGUUGGUGAGGUAACGGCUCACCAAGGCCACGAUGACUAGGGGGUCUGAGAGGAUGAUCCCCCACACUGGUACUGAGACACGGACCAGACUCCUACGGGAGGCAGCAGUGAGGAAUAUUGGGCAAUGGACGCAAGUCUGACCCAGCCAUGCCGCGUGCAGGAUGACUGCCCUAUGGGUUGUAAACUGCUUUUGUUUGGGAAGAAACCCCCGAUCGUGAUCGGGGCUGACGGUACCAUACGAAUAAGCAUCGGCUAACUCCGUGCCAGCAGCCGCGGUAAUACGGAGGAUGCAAGCGUUAUCCGGAUUCAUUGGGUUUAAAGGGUGCGCAGGCGGAAUAUUAAGUCAGUGGUGAAAUCCUGCAGCUUAACUGUAGAACUGCCAUUGAUACUGAUAUUCUUGAAUAUAGUUGAGGUGGGCGGAAUGUGUAAUGUAGCGGUGAAAUGCUUAGAUAUUACACAGAACACCAAUUGCGAAGGCAGCUCACUAAACUAAUAUUGACGCUGAGGGCACGAAAGCGUGGGUAGCAAACAGGAUUAGAUACCCUGGUAGUCCACGCUGUAAACUAUGAUCACUCGCUGUUGGCAAUACAUCGUCAGCGGCUGAGCGAAAGCAUUAAGUGAUCCACCUGGGGAGUACGGUCGCAAGAUUGAAACUCAAAGGAAUUGACGGGGGCCCGCACAAGCGGAGGAACAUGUGGUUUAAUUCGAUGAUACGCGAGGAACCUUACCUGGGCUUAAAUGCAGAGCGACGUCCGCCGAAAGGUGGAUUCCUUCGGGCGAUCUGCAAGGUGCUGCAUGGUUGUCGUCAGCUCGUGCCGUGAGGUGUCGGGUUAAGUCCCAUAACGAGCGCAACCCUUAUCGUUAGUUGCCAGCGGGUAAUGCCGGGGACUCUAACGAAACUGCCGGUGUAAACCGUGAGGAAGGUGGGGAUGACGUCAAAUCAGCACGGCCCUUAUGUCCAGGGCUACACACGUGUUACAAUGGUCGGUACAGAGGGCAGCUACCACGCAAGUGGAUGCUAAUCUCGAAAACCGGUCUCAGUUCGGAUUGAAGUCUGCAACUCGACUUCAUGAAGCUGGAUUCGCUAGUAAUCGCGCAUCAGCCAUGGCGCGGUGAAUACGUUCCCGGGCCUUGUACACACCGCCCGUCAAGCCAUGGAAGCUUGGGGU